CUUAUGUUUCUAUUCAGGAGUGUCGUCUUCACUAACUUCUUUGUGUCUCACAGCUUCAGUAUGAGACUCAAGUUGUAGAAUUCUCCCUGCUAGGGAGGCUAAAACUCUCUCACCUUGAUCAGACAUCUUUGCUGAAUGAAAUGA